rnacentral:rRNA from 1 species
UGGGGAAUCUUCCACAAUGGGCGAAAGCCUGAUGGAGCGACGCCGCGUGAGAGAAGAAGGCCUUCGGGUUGUAAAUCUCUGUCUUCAGGGAAGAAUGUAUCCUAUGUGAAUAAUGUGGGGUAAUGACGGUACCUGAGGAGGAAGCCACGGCUAACUACGUGCCAGCAGCCGCGGUAAUACGUAGGUGGCGAGCGUUGUCCGGAAUUAUUGGGCGUAAAGCGCGCGCAGGUGGCUUUACAAGUCUUCUUUAAAAGUGCAGGGCUUAACCCUGUGAUGGGGGAGAAACUGUAAGGCUUGAGUGCAGGAGGGGUAAGCGGAAUUCCCAGUGUAGCGGUGAAAUGCGUAGAUAUUGGGAGGAACACCAGUGGCGAAGGCGGCUUACUGGACUGCAACUGACACUGAGGCGCGAAAGCUAGGGGAGCAAACGGG